CCUCUCGGGGGUAAGCGGGCAGAAUCUACAAGUAUUGAUGGGAGAUUCAGGCUUAGUACUGAUGGCUGAGAGUUUAAAGUUAAGUUGAUCAUUCGUGAUUUGGCUAUUUUGUACUUUCUGAUCCGUUGGUAAUGCGCCGCAUUUCUCCUUAUCAUCCGGGUUGCAUGCAACUGAAAUGGUAUUUUAGGUGCUGAAUUACUGUAAAUCCUCGUGGUUUAAGUUUUUGGUUUCCAAAUACUUUUGCGGUUGUUGUUAAGCGAACAGGCGUUCAUUCGCGGUCAAAUAUUUGGACGAGUUGUGUAUAUAUUUCGUAUGGACGGGUAACCGUAGUACGAUUUAUGUACUAAUUGUCGGUCUGAGUAUUUUUGGCUCUGUUCAGAAUUGCAAUCUAAAGCAUGUGUGAUCUGCCUGU
rnacentral:rRNA from 1 species